ACUGAGCCUAGAGGUAUUGCAGGUGUGGCUACUAUGUCACAUGUGCUUCAGUAGGUAGCAGAGAGUAGAGAGGCCAUGCAUGUCUACACUCUGUUCUUACCUCUGAACAAUUAGUAGCCUAACAUU